rnacentral:rRNA from 1 species
CCUACGGGUGGCAGCAGUGAGGAAUUUUGGUCAAUGGGCGCGAGCCUGAACCAGCCAUGUAGCGUGAAGGAUGAAUGCCCUACGGGUUGUAAACUUCGUUUAUAAAGGAAUAAAGUGACGCAAGUGAGCCUUUUUUUAUGUAUUUUAUGAAGAAGGAUCGUCGAACUCCGUGCCAUCAGCGGCGGUAAUACGGAGGUUCCGAGCGUUAUCCGGAUUUAUUGGGUUUAAAGGGAGCGUAGAUGGGUCGUUAAGUCAGUUGUGAAAGUUUGCGGCUCAACCGUAAAAUUGCAAUUGAUACUGGCAGUCUUGAGUACAGUUGAGGUAGGCGGAAUUCGAGGUGUAGCGGUGAAAUGCUUAGAUAUCACGAAGAACUCCGAUUGCGAAGGCAGCCUACUAAACUGCCACUGACAUUGAGGCUCGAAAGUGUGGGUAUCAAACAGGAUUAGAUACCCCAGUAGUC